AGGAUACGUGCCGACAGAGGCACAGAAAACAUUUGUGUUGAACAAAUGCAGAUAUUUCUGAGGCGAAACCACACAGACAGUUUUGCAGGGGACAAAAGUUUCCUUUACAGAAGAAGUACAUCCAACCAGCGCAUUGAAGGAUGGUGGUCCACCCUCCGUAAACAGAGCGCACAGUUUUGGAUGAACUUAUUUCAAACCUUUCUGGAUGAUGGUCACUUUACAGGAGAUUUUUUGGAUAAAAGCCUUAUCCAAUUCUGCUUUCUUAAUCUUAUUCAGGAUGACCUUGAUGAUGUUGUGAACACAUGGAACUCACACAAAAUCCGGGCAAGUGGAGGUGCAGUAUCGGGCCGACCAGUAGUGAUGUACUCAUUUCCGAGCUGCACAAAGCUGAGGAUAGACUGAAACCUUUCUCUGGAUGAGGUCACUGUGUGUAUGGAAGAGUGUACACCAAAAGGUCCAUAUCCCUGUGAUGAAACAGUCUUUGAACUUUGUUGUCUGCUUAUGGUAGAACACAACUUGGAGGCCCCAAGAGAUCCACUUAUUGCUGCUGAUUUGUAUAUAAGGUUAAGAGAAGAAAUUCUUCAAAGUAUUUAGCAACUUUCAGUGUGCAUAAAGAUCAUUUAAAAAGUGUUGCUAUUUAUCUCCAUCAUGCCAUUGGAUAGUGUUUGCAAUGUGAUAGGUGCCCUCUAAACAGGGCUCCCUGCUCUACAUCUAAUUAAAGAAUGAAAAGUAUGCAAGCAAACAGAACCUUUUUGACGUCAUUUUACCAGAACAUGAAAGUUUAUUGCUGUCAUUAUUUAUUUGUAGAGUUCUGAUGACCUGACAUUAAUGUACAAGCUGUUACUGUGCUGAUAAAAAUUAAAAUUGCAGGUUGUUUGACAUGA